AAUAUGAGAGUUUGAUCCUGGCUCAGAACGAACGCUGGCGGCAGGCUUAACACAUGCAAGUUGAACGUGAUUUGCUGGGUGCUUGCACCGAGCAAUGAAAGUAGCGCACUGGUGAGUAACACGUGGGAACGUACCUUUUGGUGGGGAACAACAGUUGGAAACGACUGCUAAUACCGCAUAAGCCCUGAGGGGGAAAGAUUUAUCGCCGAAAGAACGGCCCGCGGAAGAUUAGGUAGUUGGUGGGGUAACGGCCUACCAAGCCGACGAUCUAUAGCUGGUCUGAGAGGACGAUCAGCCACAUUGGAACUGAGACACGGUCCAAACUCCUACGGGAGGCAGCAGUGAG
rnacentral:rRNA from 1 species